UACGAAGGGGGCUAGCGUUGCUCGGAAUUACUGGGCGUAAAGGGCGUGUAGGCGGGAAGGAAAGUCAGAUGUGAAAUCCCUGGGCUCAACCCAGGAACUGCAUUUGAAACUCCCUUUCUUGAGUGUCGGAGAGGAAAGCGGAAUUCCUGGUGUAGAGGUGAAAUUCGUAGAUAUCAGGAGGAACACCGGUGGCGAAGGCGGCUUUCUGGACGACAACUGACGCUGAGACGCGAAAGCGUGGGGAGCAAACAGG
rnacentral:rRNA from 1 species